rnacentral:rRNA from 1 species
CCUACGGGGGGCAGCAGUGAGGAAUAUUGGUCAAUGGGCGAGAGCCUGAACCAGCCAAGUCGCGUGAAGGAUGACGGCCCUACGGGUUGUAAACUUCUUUUGUCAGGGAGCAAGAGGGUCCACGCGUGGGCUUAGCGAGAGGACCUGAAGAAAAAGCAUCGGCUAACUCCGUGCCAGCAGCCGCGGUAAUACGGCGGAUGGGAGCGUUAUCAGGAUUGAUUGGGUUUAAAGGGUGCGUAGGCGGAAUAUCAAGUCAGCGGUAAAAAUUCGGGGCUCAACCCCGUCGUGCCGUUGAAACUGCUGUUCUUGAGUGGGCGAGAAGUAUGCGGAAUGCGUGGUGUAGCGGUGA